CAGCGUCUCUGAAAAUAAGCCCUGUACUACAUGGGAGCGCAAUGGCGGGAAAAUCCAGCUGACAUUUGUUUCCCUAGGGUUUACUUACAAAGUUCCCGUUUCUCAAUCCAGACAAUAAACCGAAGGCAAAAUACCACCAUUUUCUUUCAUUCCCUUUCUCCGAAUCCAUACAGAAAAAGAUGCCAACAUACAAAUUACGGGGAAUCGAUGUUGAUUUUCCAUUUGAGGCCUAUGAUUGCCAACUUGUUUACAUGGAGAAAGUUAUUGAAGCUCUCCAAAAGAGGUGUAACGCUCUUUUGGAGAGUCCUACUGGAACUGGGAAAACCUUAUGUCUUCUCUGUGCUACAUUGGCCUGGAGGAAGAGUUUGGGUGGUUUUUCAACUGGGAGUAGUCAAAUAAAAAGUCUAUUUUCUGGGAGCCAAUCUGAUGUGGGAUCAUCGAAAUCUCAGCCUGGCAACCUUCCAACUAUUGUCUAUACCUCACGUACUCACAGCCAACUCCGGCAAGUUGUUCAAGAGUUGAGAAGAAGCAACUACAGGCCCAAGAUGGUAGUUUUGGGAUCACGGGAGCAAUUGUGCAUACAUGAUGAAGUGAGCUUACUUCACGGGAAAGCUCAGACAAAUGCCUGCCGUGCCCUCUGCAGAAAGCGUCAGAAGCGUCAUUGCACACAUUUUCCUCGUGUUGCUGAAUAUAUGAAGAACAACCCUCAUAUUGGAGAUGAACCUCUUGACAUAGAGGACUUGGUGAAUAUUGGAAGAAGAUUUGGGCCAUGCCCAUAUUAUGUGUCACGAGAGCUCCACAAGGUUGUUGAUAUUUUAUUUGCACCUUACAACUAUCUUAUAGAUCGUGACUAUAGAAGAUCUCUUAACCUUGAGUGGCACAACAGCGUACUGAUAUUUGAUGAAGCUCACAACCUGGAAGGCAUAUGUGCUGAUGCAGCCUCUUUUGACUUGUCUUCUGGACUUCUGACGGCAUGCAUUUCUGAAGCGAAAAAUUGUGUUGACCUAGCUGUUGCGAGGCGAGAAGAAUCAAAUGAUAAAUCAAGGAAUCCAGAUAACUUUGCAAUCUUGAGAGCUCUUCUUUUGAAACUUCAGAAGCGAAUUGCUGAAGUUCCCAUUGAAUCCAAGGAACUUGGAUUUACCAAGCCUGGGCCUUACAUUUAUGAGCUACUUGCUGAUCUCAAUAUCACUCAUGACACUGCUUCUAAACUUAUUGAUAUAAUUGAGGAAGCUGCCGUGUUGCUUGAGGAAGAUAAGCAGCAGGAUACAAAGGGAAGUGGCUGCAGGCUGGAAAGCAUUGGUAACAUCCUUAAAAGUAUUUUCAGAGAUAAGGGCAAUAAUCAUGCUGAUUAUUAUCGUGUUCAUGUGCAAGAGGCUGAGGUAAAUGCUACAGAUAUCUUCAGAGGUAAGACAUCCAGGAUACUCAGUUGGUGGUGCUUCAAUCCAGGAAUUGCUAUGCAAGAGUUCUCCAAAAUGGGUGUUGCAUCUAUUGUGUUGACAUCUGGUACAUUAUCUCCCUUGGAUUCAUUUGCACAAGAAUUGAAAUUAGAUUUUCCUGUUCGGUUGGAAAAUCCUCAUGUAAUAUCCUCAGAUCAGAUAUGGGCAGGAGUUGUCCCACUUGGUCCAUCAGGUCGCUCCUUCAAUUCAUCUUACCGGAAUCGUGAUUCUCCAGAAUACAAACAAGAACUUGGGAAUGCUAUUGUCAAUUUUGCUCGAAUUGUACCUGAUGGACUGCUUGUUUUCUUUCCAUCUUACUACCUUUUGGACCAGUGCAUUAGUUAUUGGAAAAACAUGGGUAAUGCAAAUUCAAGUACAGUAUGGGAAAGAAUAUGCAAAUUUAAGAAACCUGUUAUUGAACCUAGGCAAUCUUCACUGUUUCCUCUGGCAAUUGAGGACUAUAUGAGUAAAUUGAAGGACACUUCAACAUCCGGUGCAGUAUUUUUUGCUGUUUGUCGUGGCAAGGUCAGUGAGGGAUUAGAUUUUGCUGACUAUGCUGGAAGGGCUGUAGUCAUCACUGGGAUGCCAUUUGCCACAAGGACAGACCCUAAGGUUCGUCUCAAACGUGAGUACUUGGACCUACAGACACAAUCACCCAGGGAAGGAUGUAAGAUGCUUAAGUUGUUAACUGGAGAAGAGUGGUAUAAUCAACAAGCAUCAAGAGCUGUAAAUCAGGCAGUCGGACGUGUUAUCCGCCACCGCCAGGAUUAUGGGGCGAUCAUCUUUUGUGAUGAAAGGUUUGCUCAUCCAAAUCGUCAGUCUCAAAUAUCACUUUGGAUACAGCCUCAUAUUAAGUGUUACACCAAAUUUGGGGAUGUUGUUUUUACGCUGACUCGUUUUUUCCGAGAUGGAGGAAGCCGUAGUCCUACAAAGCUGAAAUUUGCAGAUCAUGAAAAAAAGGAUCUAAGUCCAAGUUCUGCUACAAAAACAGUUCCAGUUGAGGACAUCAAGGAAUCUUCAUCAGGAAGUAGAAGAGAGAUACAAACUGCUCAGCCUCUAGACAAAUCUUACCUGAAACUGUUACCUGAUUUGUCUACAUCAAUGGAACAAACUCACUCCGAAGACAAAUUGUCUUCUCAUUUUGAAGUUAAAAGCAGCAACAACUCAAGCCAGCUGGGACGCAUUCUUCCUGCCAGUCUCUCAUGUUUCACUCCUUGUAUGUAUAUGAAAAAGUUGAAGCGAUCAAGUGAUCUAAUGGUUAAUGAGAAAAAGUUGUCAAUUACUGGGACGGGAAAAAUGCAAUAUCAGAAUCAUGAUGUGAUUGAUUCGACUGGUGAUCUUUUAUUGGAUAGGCAACAAAGAGAAGAGCAACAUUUAGAGUCUUGUUCUAGCAAGAAACGCAGAGUACUACCCAUAGAGCUUGACACGUUGCAGCAUGAUAAAAGUUCCAAUAAUUAUGCAUCAGAUGCCCAAAGAUCAGGGCCAAGUGACCUUCCUUUCAUAGUCAGUUCAGUGAAACAUGAGAAACUACAGAUUUCUGGUGCUAGAAGUGCGCUGAAUGCUAAAGUUCAUUUGCUGCAUAAGGAUGAUGGAGCUGCAGGUGUUCACUUUAGUGCUGAACCAUGUGGUGCCGAGGAAACUAAAGGUUCUGCCUUUCUGAUUCAGGUGAAGUUAAGGAGAAACUUAGUCCUACAGAAUAUAAAGAAUUUGUGGGGUUUAUGAAGGCAAUGAAGUCCAAAGUGAUGAAGAUUGGUAAUGUUCUGCAAUCCAUUGUGGGAUUAUUUUCAGGACCAGAAAGGCUUCCUCUUCUUGAAAGAUUCAAGGAUUACGUGCCUGCAAAGUAUCAAUCUUUAUAUGAGCAGUACAUUGAAACAAGUACAGAAAUGCCUGACAAUCAAAGGAACUAAACUUAUCUUGUCCGAACAGUUGUUAGGUAGGGAUGCCAUUCUUCAAUUUUUGUGAUUGGUCUGGAUGGAAAUGAGCUUUUCUAGAGCAAUGAUCUCCUGGAGUGUCAGAAAGAGAAGAAUUGAGAUAAAACGUUGUGGAGGGUUUGUGUGAAGUAUAUCGCAACUUUUGACAAAUAUCAGAAAAUGUUUGCCUGCGUAACCAAGCAGCUAAGUGUUCUUUCAUGUCUGGAGGAAAGUAACUUUCUCAACAUGAGGGCAAUGUUGCAUUUGCAAACUCUUAUUCCCGUAUUAUUCUACUGAGAUUAUGAAGGAUUACUGGAUUAGACUUGGUCACAGCUUACUUCUUGUGGAAAACAAAAUCAAGCAAACGGAAAUAGAGUGAAACUGGGAAUUUUGUUGGAGAGAUGAGAUAUAAAGGCAACCUAAGUUUUUGCUUCCUGAUUUAUAUGGCCUUGACAGUGCAUCAGCAAGAGCCUACAAGAUGGUCGAUUAGUUAUUGGAAAUGACACUAGUUACUGCACCUAUGGUGCCCCUGAGAUUUACAUUCAUGUGUAGAUAUUAAAAUAGAACUGAUUUACAAGGUAUGAGGUUCCAUUUGAUGGAAAGCAUAUGAGGUGCCUAUUAAUUACUUACUAUAUAUUGUUCCUAAAAUUUUCAGUUUAAGUCGAGUGGCUUCUGAUUCUUAA